UCCUCAUGGUUGCUAGUCCAAUUUGUUACCACUGAGCCAUGAUGAAACUCCCUCAUUUUCAUCUUAUACUUUGCACCUUAGAGAUCUCCAAUUAAAUGGGUCGUAUGAGUGUAGGUCUUGCUCUGUUGGUCCUGUGCCUUUUCCUCCAUCACCACUCCUAGGAUCAAGGACAUGCAGGAAAAUGUCAUCAUGCACACUUCUACAAGUUCACCAUCCACAAAGACUUAUACUUAAAGCCAGCCCCUUCAAAGGGAAUGAUUCCCAAUAUAUGAAUCACAGAUGCCAGCUCAACUGUGAGACCCUCAAAUGAACAAUGAACGGUAACACCCACGUGGGCCUGUUUGCCAUGUCUGACACUCCUGCAGGGACAGAGCUGACCUCUCACUAUAACUCCAUUGUCUGGGGAAUAAGAACACAGUCUGUCAGUAUAAAGCCUCCCACGGCAGUGGGUUCCUCAGGGACAGGCCAAAGAUCUCAGCAUCCUUUUCCUCAGAGGACAAGAGCAAAAAGACCAAGAAGAAAACAAGAAGACUCCUCAGGAAGGGUGAGGGGAAGAAGCAGUCUGAGGAUGAGUGCUUCCUCUGGUGAGACAGUGGUCAGCUGGUGCUGUGCGACCACGUGUCCAGCACCAAGUCCUACCACCUGCCAUGCCUGGGCCUUGGCAAGCAGCCCUUAGGGAAGCUGGAAUAACCUUGGCAUUUUUGUGACAUGCAUGACAAACCUACUUCAUUUUGCUACUUUUGUCCCAGUUCUCUUGCAAGGAAAGCCAGGACUGGAUGGCCCUCAGCUCCACCCAGGAUGGGCAGUCAUACUGCAGGGAGCAUGGCCUGAGGGCAGAGCCAGCUAGAAGUGCCAAGGCUGGGCAGCCCUGCUUGUAGCCUGCCAAGUCCAAGUUCAGGAGGAAGAGAAGGAGGUGCUGGUGGAGGGUCACAGGAGGCAAAUAGCACCAAGCCAGGGCUCCAUCAGUUCAGGGGCAGCCUCAAGAGGCUCACCAGUGGGAAGAAGGCUGAGGAUUGGGAACUGGCCUUCUGUAUGCAGCCAGAAGCCACCAUGUCAGAUGCACAGGCCUCCUCAGGAGGGAGCACCUCCCACCACUGAGCUGUCUCAGCAGUGCCCACCUGUGCCCACACUGAGGAACUUCCAGCCAUGCAGUUCCCUCUGUGCAGAGGACAGAGGCUUCACACAUGAUCUCUGAAUAUCAGGGGGAUUCUCUCCCAUCUUUGUACUUAGGUUAAAGUUAUGAUUGAAAAUUAAUUGGCAUAUGAAAUAUUUGUAUCUCA